UCUUAUAAAAAGGGAUAAAGAAAAAUGUAAAGAAUAUCUUAUAUUUAGGGACGGAGGUACAUAGUACUCCCUCCGUCCUAAAUUAUAAGGGAAAAUAAAAAAAUCACACUUAUUAAGAAAAAAUAAAACAUGAUAAUUUGAAGUAUCUUUUUGUGGGUUUUCCUUGGAAUAAGUUUCCUAGGAAGAUGUAAAAACAAUUUUUAUUGGUUGUUCUUUAUUGAGAAAAUGAGAGAGAGAAGAAAUUAAAUGCAAUUUUCAUUUAAUUUUAUGAAAAUAAGGAAAAAACAUUCUUGAAAAUAAUUUUUUCUCUUAUAAUUUGGGACAAAAAAAUGGGCUUUUUUCUCUUAUAAUUUGGGACGGAGGGAGUACAACUUAAUUAAAUCCUAGUUUUUAAUUGAUUUUGUGUAUAUUGAUUGAUUCCUGGAUUUUUUUAAUUGAUUUUGUGGAUAUUGUCUUCAAUGUUCACAAGAAAAAGAAGUAGUAAGGGUUAUAUAUACGUUUACAUGGUGGAUAUCUUCAACUUUCAUAGUAGCAUUCCAACAAUAUAAUCUUUUGUACAAAACUCAAUUGAUUGUCGAUUUUUCUUCAUUGUAAUGAUGUUGAAGCUUAGGUUUUGUGUUUUUUUGUUUUGAGGUCUUAUGUAAAUGAGUGUUAGUCUAUAUAUAUAGGGUUUAGUGUGUCAC
rnacentral:lncRNA from 1 species